GGAUGAUUAGUCUAACUAAGACCACUAAUUUCGACUUAGUAAAUCAUGAUUAACAACAUGAUCACCCC
rnacentral:tRNA from 1 species